GGAUGUGAGGGCGAUCUGGCUGCGACAUCUGUCACCCCAUUGAUCGCCAGGGUUGAUUCGGCUGAUCUGGCUGGCUAGGCGGGUGUCCCCCUCCUCCCUCACCGAUCCAUGUGCGUCCCUCCCAAAGCUGCGCGCUCGGUCGAAGAGGACGACCUCCCCCCAGGAGAGGACCGGUCUUCGGUCAAGGGUAUACGAGUAGCUGCGCUCCCCUGCUAGAACCUCCAAACAAGCUCUCAAGAAAUGAUGAGUGGAAAACUCCAGCUCAGACACUGGCACAGAGAUGAACUAUUGCCCUUAUUGU
ensembl:misc_RNA 7SK 7SK RNA